rfam:Thiorhodovibrio sp. 970 genomic scaffold Thi970scaffold_7, whole genome shotgun sequence.
UAAAUGGCCUUUCUUGAGGCUCCCAAUCAUUUUCAAAAAAACUUUUU